rnacentral:lncRNA from 1 species
UUUUUUUUUUUUGGUCUUUUUGCUAUUUAUUGGGCCGCUCCCAUGGUAUAUGGAGGUUCCCAGGCUAGGGGUCUAAUUGGAGCCGUAGCCACUGGCCUACACCAGAACCACAGCAACGCAGGAUCCGAGCCGUGUCUGCAACCUACACCACAGCUCACAGCAACGCUGGAUCCUUAACCACUGAGCAAGACCAGAGAUCGAACUCUCAACCUCAUGGUUCCUAGUCAGAUUUGUUAACCACUGUGCCACGAUGGAAACUCCUAGCUUUACCACUUAUGGUGUUCAAAUGAGACAUCUUAGCAUCUCCUUCAGAUCUUCUUCUUUUUUUCUUUUUAGGGCUGCAUCUGUGGCUUAUGGAAGUUCCUGGGCUAGGUGUCCAAAUUGGAUCUGCAGCUGCUGGCCUACACCACAGCCUCAGCAACACCAGAUCUGAGCCACAUCUGUGAUCUAUGCUACAGCUUGGGGCAAUGCUGAAUCCUUAACCCAUUGAAUGAGGCCAGGAAUCGAACCCUCAUCCUCACGGACACUAUAUCAGGUUCUUAACCUACUGGGAACUCCUCCUUUAGAUCUUCUUAUCCCCAACUUCUACUGGCUUCUGCUGGUUCUGUCUCAUCUCCAUUUCUAUGGUCAUUGCUUUGGUUCAGGGCUCAAUCAAGUACCCUGGUUUGGGGGGAUUUGAAAUUUAGGUGGAGUGAUACUUGGUCAAGGGUGGUGUUUUCAGUCUAUUUGUGGUGGCCACUGAGACAGUGUUGAGAGUCCAGGGGGCAUCUGGAGACUAUGUUGCAUAGUGUGGCCUUGGCUGAUCUUUGACUUCCAGCAUCUCUUGGUUUCCAUCUAAUUUCUGAGCCUGAUCUCCUCUUCCUGUCUAUCCUGUGUAACUUUUAUAACCUCCUGGUUAUUAGUCAGGUUUGUUAACCACUGGGCCAUGAAGGGAAUGCCUAUCCUGUGUAACUUUUAUUUUAUUUUAUUUCAUUUUUUGUCUUCUGUCUUUUUAGGGCCGCACCCACAGCACAUGGAGGUUCCCAGGCUAGGGGUCUAAUCAGAGCUGUAGCUGCUGGCCACAGCCACAGCAAUGCCAGAUCCGAGCCGAGUCUACAACUCACACCAUAGCUCACGGCAACGCCGGAUCCUUAACCCACUAAACGAGGCCGGAGAUGGAACCCGUAACCUCAUGGUUCCCAGUCAGAUUCGUUUCUGCUGCGCCACGAUGGGAACUCCCCUGUGUAACUUUUAAACUGUCAUUUUGAUAGAUUCCUUUCCUGCCAUUUUUCCAGUUAUCCAGAGUUGAUUCCAGUUUGUUUCCAACCAGGAUUUCUGGUUGAUCCAAGGGGUAGUAGGAACAGUCAGAACAAAAGGAGAAGGAGAAGUUGCAAAGUUAUCAAAGUGGUGGAACACUUGGCCAUGGAGCAUGCUCUCUGCUUGUGGGGCUUGAGCUCUUAGAUCCUCAGUCAUUUUUUUAUCCAUUAACUCCUAACUAUUGGCUAUAAAUUGCCAGCUGCCCCUGCUGUAUUUGGAGUUAAGCUCAGUUCUAUACUGAAUGCUUUCUUCCUUACUGCAGUAGCUUGAAUAAAGUCUGUCUUGCCAUUUUAACAAGUGUCCAUUGCAGUUUCUCUUUAACAUCCGUGUUUGUAAAAGCAUUUUUCUGUUCCUUGAGAGGGAAAAAGAAUCUUAAAAACACGGAAGGAGUUCCUGUUGUUGCUCAGUGGUAACAAACCUGAUUAUUAUCUAUGAGGACGCUGGUUCUAUCUCUAGCCCUGCUCAGUGGGUUAAGGAUUUGGUGUUGCUGUGAGUGUGGCGUAGGUCACAGACAUGGCUUGGAUCUGGAAUUGCUAUGGCUAUGGCUGCGGCCAGUAGCUAUAGCUCUGAUUUGACCCCUAGUCUGGGAACUUCUAUAUGCCACUGGUGCAGCCCUAAAAAGAAAAAAACAAAACAAAACAAAACCCAGAAGUAUUCUAUAAUAUUAAAGUUUAAACACAUUGUGUGUUUUAGCACAAACUUAUUGCUUUCUAAGGUAUCAAAACAAGAUUUUUCAUUAUUUCUUGGAGUCACUUCUUUUUUCUAUGACAACCUUAAAUGAUAACAUACAAAUGGAAAAUAUUUGAUUUUCUAAAACUCAGUUUAUACACAGGAAUUCCGAUGCUUAUCUGUUAUACAAAAGAAUCUAUGCACAUUGGUGCAUGCUUUGAAUUCAAAGCAAAUCCAUAAACAGAUACAAGUAAGAUAAUAUAUACAAAUAAUAAAGGCUUUAAGGAUGGAUUUCUCUUUAGAGGAGUACUCAGUCUCAGGAGAUAGUGUCAAUCAGGGCAUCCUUCUUGGAGGAGGAGGUAGGCUGUUAGGUCAGAUGGCAAAGGCAUUGAGAGUCAAGGAUUAGUAGCAAUAAUGGGGAGAUGCAUCUUAACAAGAGGACUUAUAAUGCUUUGUUAUGAACAUGGAGACAUUUCCUCCACAGGCUUUGGGCAGGUCACUUUAUCUUUGACUAUUUUUCCCCACCUGCACACUUAUUUUCUACUCUGACCUUCAUCUUCAACUGUAGCAUGGGGUGAGCCCAAAUCUGGGAGCAUCUUUCCUGGAGAGGUCAAUGAGGAAUUUUUUUUUUUUUUGCUUGUUUAUUCAUUUAAUUUAAAGCAUAGUUGGUUUACAGUGUUGUGCCAAUUUCUGCUGUACAGCAAAGUGACCCAGUCCUACAUAUAUAUACAUUCUUUUUCUCUUAUUAUCUUCCAUUGUGUUCUAUCCCAAAAGACUGGAUAUAGUUGCAGUGAGGAAUCUUGAUAGAAUACACCUAGAAUUCCAGAAAUGGGAGAUUAGACCCAGUUAAAGGACAAAUAAGGAGACCUUUGGCUGUAAUACCACCUCCACUUCUCACCUGUUCUCUCUGCCCUGCAUGCACCUUUGGGCCCCAUUUCUUUCUCAAGCACCUGGGGGGCUCCAAGGACUUGUGGGCACUGGACUGGCCCCAAAAGACCUGCCCUCAAAGCUCAGGGAGACCGAGCCCUGUCCCUGAAUGGGAGGUGGUUCGGCCAACUCAGCCUGACUAGGGGAGCCCUUCUCCUAACCCCCUCUGCCCUGCUGUGGGAUGCUGGGAGUGAAGGCACCCUUCCCCUCUUUUUGUUAUUCAAGCCUCCUGCGUCUUUGGUGGGAUUUAUUGCAUUACUGAGGGCCUCUACUUGCAGUUUGGAGUUCUGCAGGAAUCCAAUAGUAAUUUAAAAGAAGUUUUUCUAAACUUUAAAACAUUUGAGACUAAUUUCCAAUUUACAACAUUAUUGUUGGGGAUUAUGACUUGUGUGGUUUCUGGGUUCUAAUAAAUGAUUAAUUUUGUUGACCAUCUACAGCACUUAAAAAGACUAAUAUUGUUUUGGGGGGUAUAAGGUUUAAUGUAUUUCUAUUAAAACUUUCUAUUAGAACCUCCUUUUAUUAUGGCUUUUCUGUUAAUGUUGCCAUAUUUCUAACAGGUUUUGUUUAUUUUAUUUUAGGACUGUUUUCAGUACAUAUACUCAUAGUGGGUUAUACCUUUUAUAAAGACAAAAUGCUUAUCUUUGUCCAAAUCUUUAAGGCUUUAGUUUUCAAUUCUACUUUGUAUGAUAGUUAUAUUGAAGCAGCUAUUUCAUUUUCUGUAUGUGUGUCAUAUAUUUAUCCAAUCUUAAAAAGACCAAGUAUAAAUCAAUACAAAGAAAAUCACCAGGAGAAAAAUAGGAAGGGAUGUGACCAGGCAGUUCACAAAAAAAUCCCCCACAAAGGGCCAAAAAAUAUUUAAAAAAUGUUUAGCUUCCCUACUGUCAAAGACUUGCAGAUUAAACUAUCAAUGAGAGAGCAGCCAUUUCACAUCUAUCAUGUAGAUAAAGAUGAAACAAAAUUAAAUACACUCCUCAUGGGAAUCAAUGGAUAUAAUUUUUUAAAAUUUUGUAUUUUGUCUUUCUAGGGCCGCACCCACAGCAUGUGGAGGUUCCCAGGCUAGGGGUCCAAUUGGAGCUGCAGCUGCUGGCCUACGCCAGAGCUACAGCAACGCCAGAUCUGAGCUGCAUCUGCAACCUACACACAGCUCACGGUAACACUGAGCGAGGCCAGGAAUCGAACCAACAACCUCAUAACUCCUCAUGUGCCACAACGGGAACUCCACGGAUAUAAUUUUUGAGAAAUAAUUUUUACUAAUAAUUUAUUGAAAUAAAUAAGCAGAGAUUUAUACAAGGAUUUGCCCAUAGAGAUAUUUAUUGAAUUGUUGAUUAUAACAGUAAAGAAUUGGAACCAAUCCAAAAGCUAAAAAAAAAAGGUAUUGGCUAAAUAAAUUAAGGUCUGUCUAAUCAAUAUAAUAUGUAACCAUUAAAUCACAUUUUGAAGAAUAUUAGAUAAUAUGGGAAUAUUUUCAUGAAAUCCCAUAAACUGAAAAAAGUAUGUAUGCAUGUACAUAUCUGUGUAUGUGUGUAAAUAUAUUGUAUAUAAAUGUAUAAAUAUUUUUUAAGGAAAGGAGAUGGGAAUCAGAACAUUUCUCAUAGAAAGGAGACUUAAUAGUGCUCAGAUUAUGGUCAUAUUUAUUUUUUACAUUUUCACAGUAAAUAUACAGCAUUUUUAUAAUAAAUAAGCAUCAAAAACUGUAUUUUCAUACCUUAGUAUUAUAAUUGUUUAAAAGAGGUUAAGAAUUAUAAAUAAGAGAACAGUAUUAUACUUUACAUAAGAGAAAAUAAUCCAAAUCAUUCAAAGUAAAUUCACUAUGUAUCUGUAUCAAUAUUUUGACCACUGGAAUUCCCACUGUGGCUCAGUGGGUUAAGAACCUGACUGCUAUCCAGGAGAAUGUGGAUUUUAUCCCUGGCCUCGCUUAGUGGGUUAAAGGCUGCCGUGUUGCUGUGUGGUGUAGGUCGCAGAUGUGUUUCGGAUCUGGUGUUGCUGUGGCUCUGGUGUAGGCCUGCAGCUCUGAUUCAGCCCCUAGCCUAGGAACUUCCAUAUGCCACAGGAACGGCCCUAAAAAAUAAAUUUAAAAAAUAUGAUAUUGUGAUUACUGUAUAGAUACAUUUGCAUUUUUUCUUCUUUAGAGAUUGAUAUAAAAUUUUUUACCUCUUCAGUGUGUUAUCUUCCAUGCAGUGAGAUCUGUUUUAUCAUUGGUAACCAUUUCACUAUUUAGUUUGGUUUAUAUGAUAUAGAUAGGCAGAGGUUCUAAACUGGGAAUGAGUUGGAACCUAAAGCUAAGUUUCUUAUAGUUCAGAAUUAAAAAAGAGGAGACUUUGGCUUCUGUUUCAUUAAAGCAUUAAAUAAUUUUCCCAUCAUCCUGUCUUCAUGUAAAUAUGAAAGAGUAAAGGUAAAUUACUGAUAGCCUUGGAUGUAGUUAUGAGACCUGGGUCUCAUCUGCCUUUCCUUAGCUCAUGGGGCAGUGAGUCUGGGUGAAUUAUACUUCUAGCCGCUAGG